rnacentral:tRNA from 1 species
ACAUUAGCCAAGUGGUAAGGCAGAGGAUUGCAAAUCCUUUAUCAUUGGUUCAAUUCCAAUAUGU